rnacentral:rRNA from 1 species
UGCUUAACACAUGCAAGUCGAACGAUGAAGCCCUUCGGGGUGGAUUAGUGGCGAACGGGUGAGUAACACGUGGGCAAUCUGCCCUUCACUCUGGGACAAGCCCUGGAAACGGGGUCUAAUACCGGAUAACACUCUGUCCCGCAUGGGACGGGGUUAAAAGCUCCGGCGGUGAAGGAUGAGCCCGCGGCCUAUCAGCUUGUUGGUGGGGUAAUGGCCUACCAAGGCGACGACGGGUAGCCGGCCUGAGAGGGCGACCGGCCACACUGGGACUGAGACACGGCCCAGACUCCUACGGGAGGCAGCAGUGGGGAAUAUUGCACAAUGGGCGAAAGCCUGAUGCAGCGACGCCGCGUGAGGGAUGACGGCCUUCGGGUUGUAAACCUCUUUCAGCAGGGAAGAAGCGAAAGUGACGGUACCUGCAGAAGAAGCGCCGGCUAACUACGUGCCAGCAGCCGCGGUAAUACGUAGGGCGCAAGCGUUGUCCGGAAUUAUUGGGCGUAAAGAGCUCGUAGGCGGCUUGUCACGUCGGAUGUGAAAGCCCGGGGCUUAACCCCGGGUCUGCAUUCGAUACGGGCUAGCUAGAGUGUGGUAGGGGAGAUCGGAAUUCCUGGUGUAGCGGUGAAAUGCGCAGAUAUCAGGAGGAACACCGGUGGCGAAGGCGGAUCUCUGGGCCAUUACUGACGCUGAGGAGCGAAAGCGUGGGGAGC